rnacentral:lncRNA from 10 species
GGGCUGCGGGCUUCGCUCCUGGCCGCUCUGGGCCUGAAAGGCUGCACCGCCACCUGCGUGAGGCCACCGGACAGGACUGUGAGGAUCACAGUCGGUGAAGCAGAGUGCUUUGUAAACCUCAGAGUGCGGUACUCGUGGUGCUGGAGCCGAGAAACCAGCAGCAGCUGCUGAGAGCCGACUGUGAAGAAAUGGGAGGAACUCCGUGUUGGGAGCGAGAGGCUUCGAAAGAACUGGCCACGCAGUCAAGUGUGUGUGGCGGGGCAAGUUUCCCGGAGAAAGCGAGCAGUUUAUGUUGGAGCUUGAAGUCAGGAUAACCAGUUUUGCCUUUUUUCUGUGAACCAGCUCCAAAACAAUGCUUUACUUCAGCCCGGUCUUUUUGCAGGAAGACCAUCUGCUUAGCUUAGUUCUACAAACUUUUUCAUUUUUAAUGUGCAAAGAACAGGCGGGGAGAGCCAAAAUAAAUCUUACAACGCAAAUUUAAAAGCUGCGUACGUCAUUUAAGUGGAAAAGUAAAUUCUGAGGAAAGAGACUCAAGAACAAAAUAGGAAAAAUGGAAAUAAGUAUUCUCUGACAGUAAACUAGACUGGAACUCAGGGAUAGGCAGGAUCAUCUCCAUUACAUUCUCCAGCAUGAGCCACUGCACCUGGCCUAGAUUUGAGUUUUUUAUGCUAAGUACACAAUAACAGUGAA